AUUGAACGCUGGCGGCAUGCCUUACACAUGCAAGUCGAACGGUAACAGGCCGCAAGGUGCUGACGAGUGGCGAACGGGUGAGUAAUGCAUCGGAACGUGCCCAGGCGUGGGGGAUAACGGCUCGAAAGAUCAGCUAAUACCGCAUACGACCUGAGGGUGAAAGCGGGGGACCGUAAGGCCUCGCGCCAUUGGAGCGGCCGAUGUCAGAUUAGGUAGUUGGUGGGGUAAAGGCAUACCAAGGCAACGAUCUGUAGUUGGUCUGAGAGGACGACCAGCCACACUGGGGCUGAGACACGGCCCAGACUCCUACGGGAGGCAGCAGUGGGGAAUUUUGGACAAUGGGCGCAAGCCUGAUCCAGCAAUGCCGCGUGCAGGAAGAAGGCCUUCGGGUUGUAAACUGCUUUUGUCAGGGAAGAAAUCUUCUGGGCUAAUACCCCGGGAGGAUGACGGUACCUGGAGAAUAAGCACCGGCUAACUACGUGCCAGCCGCCGCCGUAAUAC
rnacentral:rRNA from 1 species